rnacentral:rRNA from 1 species
AUUGAACGCUGGCGGCAUGCCUUACACAUGCAAGUCGAACGGCAGCACGGGAGCAAUCCUGGUGGCGAGUGGCGAACGGGUGAGUAAAGUAUCGGAACGUGCCCAGUCGUGGGGGAUGACGUAGCGAAAGUUACGCUAAUACCGCAUACGAUCUAUGGAUGAAAGCGGGGGAUCGCAAGACCUCGCGCGAUCGGAGCGGCCGAUGUCAGAUUAGGUAGUUGGUGGGGUAAAGGCUCACCAAGCCAACGAUCUGUAGCUGGUCUGAGAGGACGACCAGCCACACUGGGACUGAGACACGGCCCAGACUCCUACGGGAGGCAGCAGUGGGGAAUUUUGGACAAUGGGCGAAAGCCUGAUCCAGCAAUGCCGCGUGCAGGAAGAAGGCCUUCGGGUUGUAAACUGCUUUUGUACGGAGCGAAAAGGUUCCCUCUAAUACAGGGGGCUCAUGACGGUACCGUAAGAAUAAGCACCGGCUAACUACGUGCCAGCCGCCGCCGUAA